GAAAUGUUUGAGAGAAUUUUAGGCCGUCUGGCUUGACUAUGUCACUUGAAUGUACAGCACAUUGUAUAAUAAAACAUCAUCAGGAAUUGACGGAUUAGGUGUGGAUGACGGUACCCGGACAAUAAGGACCGGCUAACUACGUGCCAGCAGCCGCGGUAAUACUUAUGGUCCGAGCGUUAAUCGGAAUUACUGGGCGUAAAGCGUGCGCAGGCGGUUGGGCAAGACCGAUGUGAAAUCCCCGGGCUUAACCUGGGAAUUGCAUUGGUGACUGCACGGCUAUAGUGUGUCAGAGGGGGGUAGAAUUCCACGUGUAGCAAUGAAAUGCGUAGAGAUGUGGAGGAAUACCGAUGGCGAAGGCAGCCCCCUGGGAUAACACUGACGCUCAUGCACGAAAGCCUGGGGAGCACACAGGAUUAGAUACCCUGGUAGUCCACGCCCUAAACGAUGUCAACUAGUUGUUGGGGAUUCAUUUCCUUAGUAACCUAGCUAACGCGUGAAGUUGACCGCCUGGGGAGUACGGUUCGCAAGAUUAAAACUCAAAGGAAUUGACGGG
rnacentral:rRNA from 1 species